rnacentral:rRNA from 1 species
AACGAACGCUGGCGGCGUGCCUAACACAUGCAAGUCGAACGUGAUUAGAGGGCUUGCUCUCUAUGAAAGUGGCGCACGGGUGAGUAACGCGUAGAUAAUCUACCUGAUGGAUCGGGAUAACACUUCGAAAGGGGUGCUAAUACCGGAUAAGCCCACGGAGUCCUUGGACACUGCGGGAAAAGGGGGGGACCUUUAUCGGCCUUCCGUCAUCAGAUGAGUCUGCGUACCAUUAGCUAGUUGGUAGGGUAAAGGCCUACCAAGGCGACGAUGGUUAGCUGGUCUGAGAGGAUGAUCAGCCACACUGGAACUGAGACACGGUCCAGACUCCUACGGGAGGCAGCAGUGGGGAAUUUUGCGCAAUGGGGGAAACCCUGACGCAGCAACGCCGCGUGAGUGAUGAAGGCCCUUGGGUCGUAAAGCUCUGACAGAGGGAAAGAAAUGCAGAGUGGCUAAAACCGCACUGCUUGACGGUACCCUCAAAGGAAGCACCGGCUAACUCCGUG